CUGGGGUUGAACAGUAUGGUGUGAGAACAGGUCCUGUAGCAGGGGAAGCUGGGGUUGAACAGUAUGGUGUGAGAACAGGUCCUGUAGCAGGGGAAGCUGGGGUUGAACAGUAUGGAGUGAGAGCAGGUCCUGUAGCAGGGGAAGCUGGGGUUGAACAGUAUGUAGUGAGAGCAGGUCCUGUAGCAGGGGAAGCUGGGGUUGAACAGUAUGGAGUGAGAGCAGGUCCUGUAGCAGGGGAAGCUGGGGUUGAACAGGAUGUAGUGAGAACAGGUCCUGUAGCAGGGGAAGCUGGGGUUGAACAGUAUGUAGUGAGAGCAGGUCCUGUAGCAGGGGAAGCUGGGUUUGAACAGUAUGUAGUGAGAGCAGGUCCUGUAGCAGGGGAAGCUGGGAUUGAACAGUAUGUAGUGAGAGCAGGUCCUGUAGCAGGGGAAGCUGGGGUUGAACAGUAUGUAGUGAGAACAGGUCCUGUAGCAGGGGAAGCUGGGUUUGAACAGUAUGUAGUGAGAGCAGGUCCUGUAGCAGGGGAAGCUGGGGUUUUAACAGGAUAGAGAGAGAACAGGUCCUGUAGCAGGGGAAGCUGGGGAUGAACAGGAUGGUGUGAGAACAGGUCCUGUAGCAGGGGAAGCUGGGGUUGAACAGACAGACAGAGUGACUGAGGAAGAGGAGACUCUCUAAGACAGCAGACAGAGUGACUGAGGAAGAGGAGACUCUCUAAGACAGCAGACAGAGUGACUGAGGAAGAGGAGACUCUCUAAGACAGUAUGAAGGUAGGUGCCAAGCGUACCAGUUUGAGUGUCAAGAACUGCAAUGCUGCUGAGUUUUUCACGCUCAACAGUUUCCUUGUGUGUAUCAAGAAUGGUCCACCACCCAAAGGACAUCCAGCCAACUUGACAC
rnacentral:lncRNA from 1 species